AAUGUAGCUUUCCUCAGUGACGGGCAACUUCCUCUGACCCUUGACCAAUCUAGACAUGGAGCCUUGAGGGCGACAAGGUGGUCCUAUGACAGAGAGGCUGGGGUUUGAGAGGUCGAUCCUAAGACAGAGGUGGCUACACCCCGUUUAAACGUGCGGGCCGGUCAAAUGCUCCUCUGCCCAGUUUCUCCCCCAAUAACACACACGUAUAGCCCAGAACGGUGUGUUACAGCAUAAGUUCAUUCCUAGCCAUUGGGGUGCAGUCCUAACUGCAAGAGUGGCUUGCCAUGGCCGAGCUGGGCACUCUGUGAGGCAUGUCUGAUCUCUCUCAGACCAUUACUUCCACCUAAUGGUUUUUUUUUUUUAAAGAAAAAUGGGGGAGAUGCACGGAGCCAUAUUGGAUUUGGGCCUAGCCGCUUUUUGACUGCAUGGUUCAAAGUGACUCUGGGCUGUUUGGCCACAGAGACUCACCCCGAAGAUGACUGCCAUAAAUCUUAAGAUUGUUGGAUAAAGCCUCUCCCAUGAAUUUACGGCACAGGAGUAUAACAUUCAAGGGAUGCCUCAGCUCGAGCAGAUACCAGUUAUCUCCUCAGUCAACACCCAGUGUCUCCACCACCUGACCUCAUCGCCUGACUUCUUUGCCUCCAGCUAUCACUGCCUAUACCCUCAUCUCCCCCUCCUUCAUAUUUCACAAAGGUCACUCCCCCUACCUGAAAGCCUUAAAAGCUGCAAUGUUCAUCCCAAUAAACGAGACCUUGACAACA
rnacentral:lncRNA from 1 species